AACGAACGCUGGCGGCAUGCCUAACACAUGCCAGUCGAACGAGACCUUCGGGUCUAGUGGCGCACAGGUGCGUAACGCGUGGGAACCUGCCCUUAGGUUCGGAAUAACUCCCCGAAAGGGGUGCUAAUACCGGAUAAUGUCUUCGGACCAAAGAUUUAUCGCCUUUGGAUGGGCCCGCGUUGGAUUAGCUAGUUGGUAGGGUAAAAGCCUACCAAGGCGACGAUCCAUAGCUGGUCUGAGAGGAUGAUCAGCCACACUGGGACUGAGACACGGCCCAGACUCCUACGCGAGGCAGCAGUGGGGAAUAUUGGACAAUGGGCGAAAGCCUGAUCCAGCAAUGCCGCGUGAGUGAUGAAGGCCUUAGGGUUGUAAAGCUCUUUUACCCGGGAUGAUAAUGACAGUACCGGGAGAAUAAGCGCCGGCUAACUCCGUG
rnacentral:rRNA from 1 species